UGGAAUUUUGUUCACUUUUCUUUACUUCAUCUCUUUUGAGCUUUCUUCUUUGGCUUUUGAAGCAAACAUGUAGUAGGGCAGUCUUUUCAUAGCAUUCCAAUCUUUGAGGGAAUUUAAUCCCUCAAACUAAUUUCCCAGAAUCUAGAAAAAAUAAAAACAAAAAUAAAAAUAAAAAUAAAAAAAUCUGGGUCUACUCCAUAUCUCCUAGAUUUUUCAACUUUAACCUUUAUAGCAAACCAAGAUGUUCCAACUUUACAAUCUCCACACAAAUUUUAAUCUGUGUUACAAAUCUUCCACAAUAAAUUUGGUGUUUCCUUUUCUAUCUCCUAUUUCCCUUUUCGACUUUGGAUUUUAAAGUAUCCAGAAGAAGAAAAACUAUAUGAUUUCAAGAAAUUCUAAUUGGGUUUGGGUUCCAAAAUUCUAGAGAGAGAGGGAUGCAAAGG
rnacentral:lncRNA from 1 species